rnacentral:rRNA from 1 species
AUAGGUGUAAGAGGCGAACCGGGGGAACUGAAACAUCUAAGUACCCACAGGAGGAGAAAACAACAGUGAUUCCGGUAGUAGUGGCGAGCGAACCCGGAUUAGCCCAAACCCAGGCUGUUUCGGCAGGCUGGGGGUAGUAGGACCUGCAUGAUUUCAAACAAGGAGACGGGAACGGCAUGGGAAGGCCGACCGGAGGGGGUGAGAGUCCCGUACUGGAAUUUUUGUUUGUGAGGCGGGUAUCCUGAGUAGGCCGGGACAGGAGAAAUCCCGGUUGAAUCUGCCGGCACCAUCCGGUAAGGCUAAAUACUCCUGAGAGACCGAUAGUGAACGAGUACCGUGAGGGAAAGGUGAAAAGUACCCUGAAUAAGGGGGUGAAAUAGAACCUGAAACCGUGCGCUUACAAGCGGUCGGAGCCCUUUAGUGGGGUGACGGCGUGCCUUUUGCAUAAUGAGCCUACGAGUUGCACCUCUUUGGCGAGGUUAAUUCCGUUGACGGGAGCAGCCGGAGCGAAAGCGAGUCUGAAAGGGCGUAUAGUCAGAGGGGGCAGACGCGAAACUUAGUGAUCUACCCAUGGCCAGGCUGAAGUUGUGGUAACACACAAUGGAGGGCCGCACCGAUAAGCGUUGAAAAGCUUCCGGAUGAGCUGUGGGUAGGGGUGAAAGGCCAAUCAAACUGAGAAAUAGCUCGUACUCCCCGAAAUGUUUUUAGGAACAGCGUCGUGGAUUGUAUGAUGGAGGUAGAGCUACCGAUAGGACUAGGGGGAGUCACAUCCUACCAAAUCCUGACGAACUCCGAAUGCCAUCAUAGAGAAACGGCAGUGAGGGCUGGGGUGCUAAGGUCCCAGUCCGAGAGGGAAAGAACCCGGACCUACCGCUAAGGUCCCGAAAUUUAGGUUAAGUUGAACAAAGGUGGUCCAGUUGCAGAGACAGCCAGGAGGUUAGCUUGGAAGCAGCUAUUCCUUUAAAGAGUGCGUAACAGCUCACUGGUCGAGCGACAGGGCGUCGAUAAUAAUCGGGCAUCAAACCUAAUACCGAAGCGUAGGAUUGGCAGUAAUGUCAGUGGUAGGGGAGCAUUCCAACGGCGGUGAAUGCACAUGGUGAUGUGUGCUGGAGCUUUUGGAAAAGCAAAUGUAGGCAUAAGUAACGAUAAUGGGGGCGAGAAACCCCCACACCGUAAGACCCAGGUUUCCUGAUCAACGCUAAUCGGAUCAGGGUUAGUCGGGUCCUAAGGCGCACCCGAGAGGGGCAGCCGAUGGCAAACGGGUUAAUAUUCCCGUACUGGACAUGCAGGUGAUGGAGUGACGGAGUGGUGAAAGGCCCGCCCGGUGACGGAAUACCGGGUUGAAGGGAGUAGGUAUUGGACCCAUAGUUAAAUGCGUGGGUUUAGCCGAACCUGACAGUACCGAGCGUCCUUGGACAAUCGGAUAGUGGCCCUAAAAGCUUCCAAGAAAAACUUCUGGCGUUAAGCGCAUGUCUACCCGUACCGCAAACCGACACAGGUGGUCGAGGAGAGUAUCCUAAGGUGCUCGAGUGAAUCAUGGCUAAGGAACUCGGCAAAAUGGCCCUGUAACUUCGGGAGAAGGGGCGCCCCGCAGGAAUGCGGGGCCGCAGUGAAGAGGCCCAGGCGACUGUUUAACAAAAACACAUGGCUUUGCGAAGUUGAAAGACUAGGUAUAAGGCCUGACACCUGCCCGGUGCCGGAAGGUUAAGAGGGGAUGUUAUCGCAAGAGAAGCAUUGAAUCGAAGCCCCGGUAAACGGCGGCCGUAACAAUAACGGUCCUAAGGUAGCGAAA